rnacentral:rRNA from 1 species
UACGUAGGGUGCAAGCGUUAAUCGGAAUUACUGGGCGUAAAGCGUGCGCAGGCGGUGCUGUAAGACAGGCGUGCAAUCCCCGGGCGUAACCUGGGAAUGGCGCUUGUGACUGCAGUGCUGGAGUGCGGCAGAGGGGGAUGGAAUUCCGCGUGUAGCAGUGAAAUGCGUAGAUAUGCGGAGGAACACCGAUGGCGAAGGCAAUCCCCUGGGCCUGCACUGACGC